rnacentral:rRNA from 1 species
UACGAGAGGCCCAAGCGUUAUUCGGAUUUACUGGGCUUAAAGCGUUCGUAGGCGGCGCGGAAAGUAGGGUGUGAAAGCCCUCGGCUCAACCGAGGAAUUGCGCUCUAAACUACUGUGCUUGAGGAAGCUAGAGGUGAGCGGAACUGAUGGUGGAGCGGUGAAAUGCGUUGAUAUCAUCAGGAACACCGGAGGCGAAGGCGGCUCACUGGGGCUUUUCUGACGCUGAGGAACGAAAGCCAGGGGAGCGAACGGG